AACGAACGCUGGCGGCAUGCUUAACACAUGCCAGUCGAACGAGACCUCCGGGUCUGGUGGCGCACGGGUGCGUAACGCGGGGGAACAUGCCCUUAGGCUCGGCAUAACUCCCCGAAAGGGGUGCUAAUACCGGAUAAUGUCCUCGGACCAAAGAUUUAUCGCCUUUGGAUGGGCCCGCGUUGGAUUAGUUAGUUGGUAGGGUAAAAGCCUACCAAGGCGACGAUCCAUAGCUGGACUGUGAGGAUGAUCAGCGACACUGGGACUGAGACACGGCCCAGACUGCUACGGGAGGCAGGAGUGGGGAAUAUUGGACAAUGGGCGAAAUGCUGAUCCAGCAAUGCCGGGUGAGUGAUGAAGGCCUUAGGGUUGUAAAGCUCUUUUACCCGGGAUGAUAAUGACGGUACCGGGAGAAUAAGCUCCGGCUAACUCCGUG
rnacentral:rRNA from 1 species